rnacentral:rRNA from 1 species
GCAAGUCGAGCGGACAGAAGGGAGCUUGCUCCCGGAUGUUAGCGGCGGACGGGUGAGUAACACGUGGGUAACCUGCCUGUAAGACUGGGAUAACUUCGGGAAACCGGAGCUAAUACCGGAUAGUUCCUUGAACCGCAUGGUUCAAGGAUGAAAGACGGUUUCGGCUGUCACUUACAGAUGGACCCGCGGCGCAUUAGCUAGUUGGUGGGGUAAUGGCUCACCAAGGCGACGAUGCGUAGCCGACCUGAGAGGGUGAUCGGCCACACUGGGACUGAGACACGGCCCAGACUCCUACGGGAGGCAGCAGUAGGGAAUCUUCCGCAAUGGACGAAAGUCUGACGGAGCAACGCCGCGUGAGUGAUGAAGGUUUUCGGAUCGUAAAGCUCUGUUGUUAGGGAAGAACAAGUGCGAGAGUAACUGCUCGCACCUUGACGGUACCUAACCAGAAAGCCACGGCUAACUACGUGCCAGCAGCCGCGGUAAUACGUAGGUGGCAAGCGUUGUCCGGAAUUAUUGGGCGUAAAGGGCUCGCAGGCGGUUUCUUAAGUCUGAUGUGAAAGCCCCCGGCUCAACCGGGGAGGGUCAUUGGAAACUGGGAAACUUGAGUGCAGAAGAGGAGAGUGGAAUUCCACGUGUAGCGGUGAAAUGCGUAGAGAUGUGGAGGAACACCAGUGGCGAAGGCGACUCUCUGGUCUGUAACUGACGCUGAGGAGCGAAAGCGUGGGGAGCGAACAGGAUUAGAUACCCUGGUAGUCCACGCCGUAAACGAUGAGUGCUAAGUGUUAGGGGGUUUCCGCCCCUUAGUGCUGCAGCUAACGCAUUAAGCACUCCGCCUGGGGAGUACGGUCGCAAGACUGAAACUCAAAGGAAUUGACGGGGGCCCGCACAAGCGGUGGAGCAUGUGGUUUAAUUCGAAGCAACGCGAAGAACCUUACCAGGUCUUGACAUCCUCUGACAACCCUAGAGAUAGGGCUUUCCCUUCGGGGACAGAGUGACAGGUGGUGCAUGGUUGUCGUCAGCUCGUGUCGUGAGAUGUUGGGUUAAGUCCCGCAACGAGCGCAACCCUUGAUCUUAGUUGCCAGCAUUCAGUUGGGCACUCUAAGGUGACUGCCGGUGACAAACCGGAGGAAGGUGGGGAUGACGUCAAAUCAUCAUGCCCCUUAUGACCUGGGCUACACACGUGCUACAAUGGACAGAACAAAGGGCUGCAAGACCGCAAGGUUUAGCCAAUCCCAUAAAUCUGUUCUCAGUUCGGAUCGCAGUCUGCAACUCGACU